GACACCCCACUCUGUGGUUUUGCUGAGCUUCAAAGCUGAAGAUCUUCCCCUCUGGGACAUGCAUUUUCCUUCUUCCUCCCAUCCUAGUUCUCCUACCCUCCAAUUUGACCAGCCUCUUGCGUUUGAAGUCAGGCUGUCUUGUCUCGGACCAGAAGGCAAAACUUUUUCAGCGUGUCAAUUUUGUGAAUCCCAUAAAAAGAAGACAAGCUGGAAAUCCAUCAGUGAAAAACUUUCAGUUUCUGCUUCAUCAGGUGCUCAGCAGAAGCGAUCACGGGCACGAUGCUGGGGGCACCGGUGGAGCUGAACUUGGCCGCGUGGCCACGGUGCCCACAGCCUUCGCGAGGGCUUCCCAGUGCUGCUCUGGAUUCUGCAUGAGUUUUGCUGUGAACGCCGGCUUCAGGAUACAGUGCUUCGGCAAGCUGGGACGAUGCUACGUUUCUGCUAGAUCCCAGCUCGUGAAUCUUUGAGUCUCACACCUUUGGGAAGACCAUCUCCCAUCCACAGUGACUGAGGCAGCGCACAGUAUUUUGAGCAUUGGGACAUCGGUACAAAGUCAGCGAUGUGUGUGUGUGCAGGGGGCAGGACGUAGGUGGGAGCACCAGCCGAGGCAUCAUCUCUCCUGUGCCAGGGCCAGAUGGUGCAACUGAGUUUUGGGGAAAGGGCAUGUUGCUAGAGUGCCCUGCGGAGCUUCUAGAGAGAUGAGCAUCUUUUUAGGGCCACGUUGCCAUGACAGCCAGUCACCUGGAUCCGAUACGCAAGAUCAAAGUCCUCUGUGAAGCCUGGGUACCCAGCUAGUUAGGGUAACCCCACAUCCUUCCAGCAAGAGAAGCGAACCUGCCCCUCUGUCCUGGCUUCCUGCCCACUGCUGGGUCACCUCCCAUUCCCACUUCAGCCUCCCCCCUCCCACCCCCGCCACCAUCCUGAGUUUGCAUCUCAGCUCUGACAUGUACUAGCUAUUGUCCUUGAUCAAGCCCAGUUACCUGAUGGAACCUGUUUCCUCAUCUGUGAAAUGGGAGUAAUGAUAAUAAAACCUUAGAGGUUGUUGGAAGGAGUAAAUCACUAGCUUGAAUGUCUUUUUUACAAGGUGCUUAGAGCAGAGCAGGCAUCUGAAUCAUCAUCUUCUUGAAUUUCAGCAAAGGGGUUUAGAAUCCACAUGUUUUAUGCCACAUUUAUUCUUCCUGCUUUUGGCGACCAUUGACAGAGGGGCUCCUGUGUGCCCAGCUUUGUCUAGAUGCUGGGGAGACAGGUUGGGGAAGACUGAAAAUGCCCCUGUCCGAGUUGUUCACAGGCUAGAGGAGCAAACAGGAAAACACUCAUUCAUCUACACUUUCAAAGUCACAACAGUUUCCCAGGCUGCCUUGUCCAGUGUCCAUCUCAUCAGGACAUUUGCCAGGGGCAGAGGGGUCGGGGUUGGGGGUAGGCUUAGGCUUCCUCAAGGAGGAGACAGUCAGCUUGAGACCUGAAGGGGUUUUCUGAGUUGGGGAGCUGAGAGAAGAGGUCUAACCUAGAAACCAGGCGAUCAUUCUGGUCCCCUUCUUUAGUGCCACCACUGAGAUCUACCAGUUUUAUCUUCCAGACAUUUCUAGCACCCAAACAUACCCUCCAUGCCCCCAGUCCUGCUGGGUUGACCGGCUUCCCCCGGAGUAUCUCAACAGCCUCCAAAACAGUCUCCCUGCCUGUCCUCUUCUGCACAACAGCCAGAGGAUCUUUGCAGAAAGCAAAGCUGGCCCCUUCUUCCUCGGUUUCCCGCCUUCCAUAUCUUUCCUUCUCUACCAGACUCCUUCCUCUAGCCCACAAAGCCCUGAUGCAUCCACCCCUGCAGACCUCCCUGACCUCCUCUUACCCACUCCACAUCCUGUCCACUUUGCACUUCAUGACAACAGUCCUUCCUUCUGAGUGUUUAUAGCUGUGGGUCCCUGUGACUGACAAUCUCCUAUGACCCCUGAGCCAUGCUUCAGGCUUCAGUGUAAACACCCCAGCCCUCCCUCCUUGGACCAGGUUGAUCGCCCUCUUUCCAGCUCCCUAAUGCUGGUUGGGAACUGCAGCAGACACAAGAGAUGUAGGUUCUAUCCUGGGGCCAGGAAGAUCUCUGGAGGAGGAAAUGGCAAUCCACACCAGUAUUCUUGCCUGGAAAAUCCCGUGGACAGAGGAGCCUGGAA